rnacentral:rRNA from 1 species
UUGAACGCUGGCGGCAUGCUUUACACAUGCAAGUCGAACGGCAGCGGGGGCUUCGGCCUGCCGGCGAGUGGCGAACGGGUGAGUAAUGCAUCGGAACGUGCCCAGUCGUGGGGGAUAACACAUCGAAAGAUGUGCUAAUACCGCAUACGACCUGAGGGUGAAAGCGGGGGAUCGCAAGACCUCGCGCGAUAGGAGCGGCCGAUGUCGGAUUAGCUAGUUGGUGAGGUAAAGGCUCACCAAGGCGACGAUCCGUAGCUGGUCUGAGAGGACGACCAGCCACACUGGAACUGAGACACGGUCCAGACUCCUACGGGAGGCAGCAGUGGGGAAUUUUGGACAAUGGGGGCAACCCUGAUCCAGCCAUUCCGCGUGAGUGAAGAAGGCCUUCGGGUUGUAAAACUCUUUCGGCAGGAACGAAACGGUGGUUACUAAUAUUAGCCACUAAUGACGGUACCUGAAGAAGAAGCACCGGCUAACUACGU